rnacentral:lncRNA from 1 species
AUCUGGCUCUUCACAAAAAGUCUGCCAACUUCUGCUUUAGAAUGUUCCUUAUGGCUGAGUACAGCACAACACAGUAAAUCCUUGUCACUUCAGACUUAUUAGUUAAGUAUGCCCCAAAAUAAAACAUUUGGUCAGGCUUAUGUUUCACCACUAAGAUAGGUUUUGUAGGUGGGGGAAGGGAAAAUCAAUAAAAAAAGAUGAUAACUUAAGGAAUUUACAGUCUAACCAGAGUCGACAGCAACAGUCAUUAACAACUAACACUUGCAUGGCACUUAUGUGUCAAAUGCUAUUUUAAAUUCCUUACAUAUAUUAACUUCUUCACUAUUAUUAUCCUUAUUUCAAAGGUGAAGAAACUGAGGCACGGGGAAAUUAAGUGCUUUGGUCGGUGCCACACAAAUUAAAGUAGUAAAGCCAAGUGAAUGUUAGAGGUAUGACUCAAGAGCUUGUGCUCUUGCCUCACCAUAAUAAUAGCUGUUGAUUAUUGAAAGCUCUCUAUAUGCCAGACAAUGCACUAAGUCUUCUACACACGUUAUUUAAGCCUUACAACAAAUUUAUAGGGUAUUCUCUCCAUUUUAUAGGUCAUAAAAAUGAAGCCUAAGGCUGGGGGCCAUGCCUCAUGUCUGUAAUCCCAACACUUUGGGAGGCUGAAGUAGGAGGAUGGUUUGAGUCCAGCUGUUUGAGACCAGCCUAGGCAACAUAGUGAGACCCUGCCUCUACAAAAAAAUUUAAAAAAUUAGGCUAGGCAUUUUGGCUCAUGCCUGUAAUCUCAAAACUUUAGGAGGCUGAGGUGGGGGGAUCACUUGAGACCAGGGAGGAGUUCGAGACCAGCCUGGGCAACACAGUGAGACCCUGUCUCUACAAAAAAAUAAAAAAAUUAGCUCGGUAUGGUGGUGCACACUUGCGGUCCCAGCUACUCGGGAGGCUGAGAUGAGAGGAUUGGUUGAGCCUAGGAGGAUGAAGCCACAGUGAGCCAUGAUUACAUCACUGCACUCCAGCCUGGGCAACAGAGCAAGAACCUAUCUCAAAAAAAAAAAAAAUACAUAAAUAAAAUAAUUUUUUGUCUUGUUUUUAUCAUCUUUAGCUAAAAAAAAAAAAUUAAUAAAAAAAAAUUAGCCAGGGGUGGUGGCACACGCCUAUGAUCCCAGCUAUUCAGAAGGCUGAGGUGGGAAGAUCGCUUAAGCCCAGGAGGUCAAGGCUGCAGUGGGCCGUGAUCACGCCACUGCAUUCCAGCCUGGGCAGAGACCCUGUCUCAAAAAAAACAAAAACAAAAACCAAACAAGGCCUAAUCAAAUCAGGGCUACAUGGAAUAAAUGACUUAACUAUAUAAGGUACAAAAUUAUGCUCUCUACACCAUGCUAUGGACACCUCCCUCAAGGAGUGGAUGCUCACAGGCCCUGGGGAGUUAAUAGAGAA